rnacentral:rRNA from 1 species
GAUGAACGCUGGCGGCGUGCCUAAUACAUGCAAGUCGAGCGAACAGACGAGGAGCUUGCUCCUCUGACGUUAGCGGCGGACGUGUGAGUAACACGUGGAUAACCUACCUAUAAGACUGGGAUAACUUCGGGAAACCGGAGCUAAUACCGGAUAAUAUAUUGAACCGCAUGGUUCAAUAGUGAAAGACGGUUUUGCUGUCACUUAUAGAUGGAUCCGCGCCGCAUUAGCUAGUUGGUAAGGUAACGGCUUACCAAGGCAACGAUGCGUAGCCGACCUGAGAGGGUGAGCGGCCACACUGGAACUGAGACACGGUCCAGACUCCUACGGGAGGCAGCAGUAGGGAAUCUUCCGCAAUGGGCGAAAGCCUGACGGAGCAACGCCGCGUGAGUGAUGAAGGUCUUCGGAUCGUAAAACUCUGUUAUUAGGGAAGAACAAAUGUGUAAGUAACUAUGCACGUCUUGACGGUACCUAAUCAGAAAGCCACGGCUAACUACGUG